CCUACGGGUGGCUGCAGUAGGGAAUAUUGCUCAAUGGGGGAAACCCUGAAGCAGCAACGCCGCGUGGAGGAUGAAGGUUUUCGGAUUGUAAACUCCUUUUGUUAGAGAAGAUAAUGACGGUAUCUAACGAAUAAGCACCGGCUAACUCCGUGCCAGCAGCCGCGGGAAUACGGCGGGUGCAAGCGUUAAUCGGAAUCACCGGGCGUAAAGAGCGCGUAGGCGGGAUAGCAAGUCCGAUGUGAAAUCCUAUGGCUUAACCAUAGAACUGCAUUUGAAACUGUUAGUCUAGAGUAGGGGAGAGGUAGGUGGAAUUCGUGGUGUAGGGGUAAAAUCCGUAGAGAUCGAGAAGAAUACUCAUUGCGAAGGCGACCUGCUAGAGCAUAACUGACGCUGAUGCGCGAAAGCGUGGGGAGCGAACAGGAUUAGAUACCCUUGUAGUC
rnacentral:rRNA from 1 species